AGCUCCGCCACUGCGCGCGCUCCAGCGCCCCAGAAGGCAGGGGGCAGCCCGGGGACCGGGGUCCCGGAGCCCCGUGGGAGGCGGGCAACACCUGUCGGGACCCGAGGGCGUGUCUGAGAUUGUGGCCUGAGGUGCUGCGCCUUCCGAUCCGGGGCAGCGGGCGUCCUGUAGCUGCGCCUUCCGAAUCCAGCCCAGAUUCUCCUACCAGCUGCUUGGGUCACGUCGGUGGAACUCCUAAAGGGAUGCCUUCAAAAUGUGUGAAUAAGCUUCAAUCAGACUGCCCUUCCCAAAGAAAAUAACUAUAAAUGCUGGAAAAACUACAAAACAGCCACCUGAAGGCACUGGCGAGAGACAAAAGCAAGCAAAUUCUGGAGAAGAGUCAACACUUGGAAGAAGGGAGCUGCACUGGGUACAUGGGGAAGGAACAGUGUCUCUGCAUGAGAAUGGCCAAAGAACAAGAUACAUUUCCCCGUGGAGAGCAAUCCUAGAGAGAGGGAAGCAUGGGUCAGAAUAAGGUGUACUGGCCCCAGGGUAAUAGCAUGUAUUUCUGUUGCAUUGGUGUUUCCAAAAUAAUGCUUCGGUUCCAAGUUUCAGGAAUUGGUUGGGGGAGCAUGGGGAUCAUACAGUGAUUCAGGAGCUUCCUUGCAAGUAAGUGAGUGAGCCAAUCAAAUAAUUUAUGUUUAAAUCUUUCACUGUGUUAAAUGUUGAAAAAUAAAGCAAGUGAAUUCCA
rnacentral:lncRNA from 10 species